rnacentral:rRNA from 1 species
UACGUAGGUGGCAAGCGUUGUCCGGAUUUACUGGGCGUAAAGAGCGCGCAGGCGGUCGAUUAAGUCGAAUGUGAAAGCCCACGGCUCAACCGUGGAAGGUCAUUGGAAACUGAAAGGCUUGAGUACAGAAGAGGAAAGCGGAAUUCCACGUGUAGCGGUGAAAUGCGUAGAGAUGUGGAGGAACACCAGUGGCGAAGGCGGCUUUCUGGUCUGUAACUGACGCUGAGGCGCGAAAGCAUGGGGAGCGAACAGG